AACGAACGCUGGCGGCGUGCCUAACACAUGCAAGUCGAACGCGGUAGCAAUACCGAGUGGCGCACGGGUGAGUAACACGUGGGUAAUCUACCAUACUGUCUGGGAUAACCGGCCGAAAGGCUGGCUAAUACCGGAUAAGACCACGUCUCUUUCGGGAGAUGUGGUAAAAGCUGAGGAUCUUCGGACUUAGCGCAGAAUGAUGAGCUCGCGUCCCAUUAGCUAGUUGGCGGUGUAGUAGACCACCAAGGCGACGAUGGGUAGCUGGUCUGAGAGGAUGAUCAGCCACACUGGCACUGAAACACGGGCCAGACUCCUACGGGAGGCAGCAGUGGGGAAUAUUGCGCAAUGGGCGAAAGCCUGACGCAGCAACGCCGCGUGAGUGAUGAAGGCCUUCGGAUCGUAAGACUCUGUCGGCAGGGAAGAAAACCCGGAACUGGCUAAUAUCCAUUCGGGCGUGACGGUACCUGCAAGGAAGACACCGGCUAA
rnacentral:rRNA from 1 species